GAUGAACGCUGGCGGCGUGCCUAAUACAUGCAAGUCGAGCGAACAGACGAGGAGCUUGCUCCUCUGACGUUAGCGGCGGACGGGUGAGUAACACGUGGAUAACCUACCUAUAAGACUGGGAUAACUUCGGGAAACCGGAGCUAAUACCGGAUAAUAUAUUGAACCGCAUGGUUCAAUAGUGAAAGACGGUUUUGCUGUCACUUAUAGAUGGAUCCGCGCCGCAUUAGCUAGUUGGUAAGGUAACGGCUUACCAAGGCAACGAUGCGUAGCCGACCUGCGAGGGUGAUCGGCCACACUGGAACUGAGACACGGUCCAGACUCCUACGGGAGGCAGCAGUAGGGAAUCUUCCGCAAUGGGCGAAAGCCUGACGGAGCAACGCCGCGUGAGUGAUGAAGGUCUUCGGAUCGUAAAACUCUGUUAGUAGGGAAGAACAAAUGUGUAAGUAACUAUGCACGUCUUGACGGUACCUAAUCAGAAAGCCACGGCUAACUACGUG
rnacentral:rRNA from 1 species